GGAGGGUGCAAGCGUUAUCCGGAUUCACUGGGUUUAAAGGGUGCGUAGGAGGGCAGGGGAGUCCGUGGUGAAAUCCUAGAGCUUAACUCUAGAACUGCCGUGGAUACUCUCUGUCUUGAAUCCCGUGGAGAUGAGCGGAAUAUGUCAUGUAGCGGUGAAAUGCUUAGAUAUGACAUAGAACACCAAUUGCGAAGGCAGCUCGUUACACGAAGAUUGACUCUGAGGCACGAAAGCGUGGGGAUCAAACAGGAUUAGAUACCCUGGUAGUCCACGCCCUAAACUAUGGAUACUCGACAUACGCGAUACACUGUGUGUGUCUGAGCGAAAGCAUUAAGCAUCCCACCUGGGAAGUACGACCGCAAGGUUG
rnacentral:rRNA from 1 species